AGUGAAUGCUGGCGGUAGGCCUAACACAUACAAGUCGAACGGCAGCACAGUAAGAGCUUGCUCUUACGGGUGGCGAGUGGCGGACGGGUGAGGAAUACAUCGGAAUCUACUUUUUCGUGGGGGAUAACGUAGGGAAACUUACGCUAAUACCGCAUACGACCUACGGGUGAAAGCAGGGGAUCUUCGGACCUUGCGCGAUUGAAUGAGCCGAUGUCGGAUUAGCUAGUUGGCGGGGUAAAGGCCCACCAAGGCGACGAUCCGUAGCUGGUCUGAGAGGAUGAUCAGCCACACUGGAACUGAGACACGGUCCAGACUCCUACGGGAGGCAGCAGUGGGGAAUAUUGGACAAUGGGCGCAAGCCUGAUCCAGCCAUACCGCGUGGGUGAAGAAGGCCUUCGGGUUGUAAAGCCCUUUUGUUGGGAAAGAAAAGCAGCAGGUUAAUACCCCGCUGUUCUGACGGUACCCAAAGAAUAAGCACCGGCUAACUUCGU
rnacentral:rRNA from 1 species